UGAAAACAUGCUAUUCUUAUAUAUGUGGAUGGAUAAAUCUUUUCAACACAAGGAACAUACUGUACACUCUAAACCACAUGGAGUGACUCCAGCCGCCCUCACUCACUUUUACUUUAAUCAUAUUCAACCUCUGAGAGAGGGUCAGAUGUAAUUAUAGCACACAGUGGGCAUGUUUAAAGAGGUAUCCCUCUCUGGUGACUGGAGAUUGUCUGGAUACAGUGCUGUAGGAGAAGAAAUUUAGCUCUACCUGAACCCUCCUAAUGGUGUCUUUAAGUCUUAAAGCUCAACUUCAAACAAACAACUUCAAAAGCAGGGUUAACGCCUCCCUCUUAAAGCCUCGGGACACAUGCCUUCUUCAGAGUUUCAGAAGAGAUCUUAACAAUGUCUUCGAUUUGUCAAGAUGGCAAAAUCUGCAAUUUAAUGGAUGUAAUGGAUCUUCCCAAUGUCUAGCCUGAGCCUUUGACCUUUGGCCUGAUCUUUGGCCACUUACAAAGCAGUCUCUGAACAAUAAAUUUUUUCCAUCGACAGAACUUCA
ensembl:lncRNA